rnacentral:rRNA from 1 species
GAUGAACGCUGGCGGCGUGCCUAAUACAUGCAAGUCGAGCGAACAGACGAGGAGCUUACUCCUCUGACGUUAGCGGCGGACGGGUGAGUAACACGUGGAUAACCUACCUAUAAGACUGGGAUAACUUCGGGAAACCGGAGCUAAUACCGGAUAACAUGUUGAACCGCAUGGUUCAACAGUGAAAGACGGUCUUGCUGUCACUUAUAGAUGGAUCCGCGUCGCAUUAGCUAGUUGGUAAGGUAACGGCUUACCAAGGCAACGAUGCGUAGCCGACCUGAGAGGGUGAUCGGCCACACUGGAACUGAGACACGGUCCAGACUCCUACGGGAGGCAGCAGUAGGGAAUCUUCCGCAAUGGGCGAAAGCCUGACGGAGCAACGCCGCGUGAGUGAAGAAGGUCUUCGGAUCGUAAAACUCUGUUAUUAGGGAAGAACAAAUGUGUAAGUAACUAUGCACGUCUUGACGGUACCUAAUCAGAAAGCCAGGGCUAACUACGUG